rnacentral:rRNA from 1 species
AUUGAACGCUGGCGGCAUGCCUUACACAUGCAAGUCGAACGGUAACAGGUCUUCGGAUGCUGACGAGUGGCGAACGGGUGAGUAAUACAUCGGAACGUGCCCGAUCGUGGGGGAUAACGAAGCGAAAGCUUUGCUAAUACCGCAUACGAUCUACGGAUGAAAGCAGGGGACCGCAAGGCCUUGCGCGAACGGAGCGGCCGAUGGCAGAUUAGGUAGUUGGUGGGAUAAAAGCUUACCAAGCCGACGAUCUGUAGCUGGUCUGAGAGGACGACCAGCCAAACUGGGACUGAGACACGGCCCAGACUCCUACGGGAGGCAGCAGUGGGGAAUUUUGGACAAUGGGCGAAAGCCUGAUUCAGCCAUGCCGCGUGCAGGAUGAAGGCCUUCGGGUUGUAAACUGCUUUUGUACGGAACGAAAAGACUCUGGUUAAUACCUGGGGUCCAUGACGGUACCGUAAGAAUAAGCACCGGCUAACUACGUGCCAGCAGCCGCGGUAA